rnacentral:misc_RNA from 1 species
GUUUGGAGGUCAAGAAAAAAAUGUUGAAGGGAAACACCGGUUACGAGGCGAUAUCAAUGUUCUUCUACUAGGUGAUCCUGGCACAGCCAAAUCUCAGUUUCUCAAGUAUGUCGAGAAAACUGGGCAUAGAGCAGUGUACACCACAGGGAAAGGAGCUUCGGCUGUAGGACUAACAGCAGCAGUGCAUAAGGAUCCUGUCACAAGGGAGUGGACCCUUGAAGGAGGUGCCCUUGUAUUGGCCGAUAGAGGAAUCUGUCUUAUUGAUGAG